rnacentral:piRNA from 1 species
UACACAGCAGGGUGAUGGUCGGCCUGAAGU